rnacentral:rRNA from 1 species
UACGUAGGGGGCAAGCGUUGUCCGGAUUUAUUGGGCGUAAAGAGCGUGUAGGCGGCCAUACAGGUCAGCUGUGAAAACUCGAGGCUCAACCUCGAGACGUCGGUUGAAACCGUAGGGCUAGAGUCCGGAAGAGGAGAGUGGAAUUCCCGGUGUAGCGGUGAAAUGCGCAGAUAUCGGGAAGAACACCCGUGGCGAAGGCGGCUCUCUGGGACGGUACUGACGCUGAGAAGCGAAAGCGUGGGGAGCGAACAGG